rnacentral:rRNA from 1 species
CCGUUCGAAUAGGGAGGUACCUGGACGCUUCUUGACCAGAAAGCCACGGCUAACUACGUGCCAGCAGCCGCGGUAAUACGUAGGUGGCAAGCGUUGUCCGGAUUUAUUGGGCGUAAAGCGCGCGCAGGCGGUCCUUUAAGUCUGAUGUGAAAGCCCAGAGCUCAACCUCGGAUUGUCUUUGAAAAUUGGGGGACUUAAUGGCGAAAAAGGAAAGUGAAAUUCCCCUGGAAGAGGGAAAAUGGUAAAAAAUUGGAAGAAAACCCAGGGCGAAAGGGGACUCCUGGGCCGUAACUUAACCUUAAGGGCCAAAACCCGGGGAGGCGACAGGAUUUAAUACCCCGGGAAUCCCCCCCCUAAACCAAGUAUUGUUAAUUGUUAGAGGUUUUCCACCCUUUAUUGCUGCAGCAAACGCAUUAAGAACUCCGCCUGGGGAGUACCUCCGCAAGGCUAAAACUCAAAUGAAUUGACGG